UCUUUUACUUUGAAGAAACAUUUUGCAUAAUUUAAAAAAAGAGAGAAGAAUAUUUGAAUUUAGAAGGAAAGAGAAAAUUGUUCGGGACAAACUUGCUUACCAAUUGGUUCCUGGCUUUUGUGCCGAACGUAAACUAAAUGUAUGGGCCUGGGAGCAUCUGGGUCAUUUUGCUCUCCGCUCCCUUCUCUCGGGGCCCUGAUCGUCCCUUUGUCUCGGGCCGAGUCCCUUCGGGUCCCUCCUUCUCCGGUUGGACCAACCGACAAAGGUCUCUCUCCUCGGCUUCGCUGUAUACCUGUAUACCGUGUGCAGCACGCCGAUGCCGAUACAGCCGUUGCUUUCUACAAGGUGUCUCGAAACCGACAGAAGAGAAAGUUGUAAAGAUCUUCGACGAGAAGCGUUGCGGGAAACAUCGACCAAGCUUGACGGAUUAUUUUCUUUCGUCUUAGAUUGGAUUUCGUUUCGCAGUUUCUAAUUACCGAGUAUGUCUGAACGGUUCGGAAUCUUAGAUAAAGAGAAAGAUCCCAUUUUAAUAGAGAGGAUGUGUAAUAUGGUCUCCUGAUUUUAUAUUCCUUUCUCAAAUUAGAUUCAUAAUUUAAACUGCUUUAAAGUUUGGGUGAAAUGUAGAUGAUCUAAUUAGAUUACCAUUGUCGUAACUAGGAUUUUUUUCUGAGAUGAAUCAGGUCCCAUAGAAAUUUAAGAAUUUUACAAUUCUGAAAAUCUAAAAUUUAGAAGUUUUUGAAUUUUCACAUUUUGGGAUUUUUAAAUUUUAGAAUCUUAUAAUUAUAAAAUGAUGAGGGGCCCGCUCCAGUCUUACCUUGCCCCUUAUCUAGUUACGUCAGUGUAGAUUAUCUAUGAUAAAAGGUGAAAGUAAAAGAAAAAAAAAACUUAUUUGAAUUUCAGAGCCUGAUGCCUUUAUUAUAAUAUGAAAAUUACCAAGAGGAGCCCAUAAUACCACAUUUAUAGGUUUGUGUUUCGAUUAACCAGGUUUACUGUUAGGUAACGCAUUUUUUCCGCUGAAAUAUUAUGUUAUUUGACAAAAAUGAAAGUAUACCGGGUAUUUCUGCGCUGAUGUCGGCAAAGUUAGAACGCAGCCCGUUAUACGAGACACCGCUGGCUUCCGGUUACCUUCUGCAUUCCUAGGUGACGAAGCGCGUGCAUAUUCCUACCAACGACACGCUUCUAAACAGCAAGGCCGGGGAUACUUGAGAAUCACAAUUAUAAUGCAAUCGCGGCGUUAAUUCAUUUCUGCGGAUGACUUAAUUAUACCGUUAGCGCAUCUUCAUCGUCCUUAUCAUCUGGUGUUAAGGUUCAAUCAACCUACCAUUGAGGUUGAUGAUCGCGAUCGAAUCAGGUUUUCCUAGGGAAAGCAGAAGUUCUAAAAAUCUUAAUUUCAACGAUAUUGAUAUUAAAAUUAAUUUAGAAACAGAAUAAUAUAAUUUUUAUUUAAUAAAUAUUAUAAAAUUUAGUAUAUGUAUAAUCAAUUCAAAUAUGAAAAUCAACGAAUAUUGAAAUAUUGCAAAUAAUCCUUUGCCACAUUCAUGAUAAUUUCAUGGUGCAAAAAUGUACCCUUUUUAUUUACAUCCGAUAAUGACUCGUAGAUGUGCGAAUCGGUCGUUAGUAAGAAACACACGACGUGCUAAUUAUUAAAAUAACACAGAAUCGAAUUAUACGGCGAAGGUAUGAUAGAAACGUGAGAAACGCAUACCCGCGUCUCUCUCAAUGCAAGUAUCUGACGAUAACCGUGUAUCGGGUACGAUAGGACUAUUUUAGCGCGAUGUUGGAUGAAAUUACAGUUAAUUAUAAAAUUGACGUGAUCAUCGUGAUUAACUUCUCCCAUUGGUAAUUAUCAACUUGUAUUUUCAUAAUACCGUCUAGGUACGAAGUAUAAUUAACCUUUGAAACGCGUCGUGGGUGCGCAUCAAUGUAGAUUAUCGCCAUAACCGUGACCCAUAAAUUACCAUAGAUUUUUCUACCAUAAUUUAUCCGUUAAUUUCCAAAAGACUCCGCCGCAUCAAUUAAAUUAAAGUAAAACCUUCCACGUUAGAGUAAUAAUAAAAUUAGGCACGUUAGAGUAAUAAACAAACAUAGAAUGUAGGUUGUUCGAUAUUGUUCUACAACAGUAGGUCUUUCACUCGGCGACCUGUCCCUAGACACACCUUGGUGUCAGGAGUCAUCGUGCGUAUUUAUAGAACGUGACUGGUGAUUCUAGUGUCAUUUGUCGGUAAUAAGUUACUGUAAUGACACCAUUGUACGUAACGACCGUUGCACCUGCAUUUUCACGGCCUUAUAAACCGACAAGAUUUUCAUUGGCUUUCUUCUACCAUUUGCGCAAUACAUUCCUCGGUAAUUGUAUUCAGAAUAUCGAAUAAAUCGUACGGUAACGAGGUACAGUAAGCGUUCGAUAAUUCCCCGCAUUUCGGAUUCUAGAGUUGAACAGGAAAUUAUCGAGCGUCAAUGGCAUAAGUGUUUUCUUCAUAGUUCAUUCGUUUCUCUGGUGCUAUUUAUUUUUUUUUUUACAUGUAAUCAUAUAACGAGGAAUUAACGAGCGUUUACUGUAUUCGGUUUCGAUUUAUCCGAAGAUCAUCGUCGAGAUGUUAUAAAUUGAUAAAUUAAAAUAUGACGUAACGGCUGAUCGAUCAUGCUUAUCGUUCUCGGAAUUACACGUUUCUGUUCAUUAGUCACCUAUAAUUUUCAUUAUGUACUCGACGCGUUCUACGUAACGAUGGCGCCUAUUGCAUUCGCUUAUUUAUUCGACUAUCUCGUAUAAUUGUUUCUCAUGAUUACACAAAGACGGUGUUACGGGUUGUUAAGGUGUUCGCCACAGUGGAUACAAUUAAGUCUCGAUCAUAGAACGUGUGUUUUAGAAUCUUUUACAAAAGGGAAAUAUAGUUUACGUCAGUGUUUCUCAACGCUUUUCUCGACGCGCAAAGACGAUUUAUUUACAAAGCGAUGCAUUGCAUAACGUUAAAAUCAGAGAUACGUGACUUUCGUUUGCUGCGUCUUUUAUCAGAGCAGCCGCGACUGACAAAACGCACGUACACGAAAUGGACGUAAAUAAGUUCGACAACCUGGUCCUCGUCCAAUGGCAAUGAAUAUUGAAAAACACUUGCGACCCGCUGAAAAGACGGAUCGUAGCGAAAGGGUUAAACAGAUAAGUAGCAGCGGUGAGCGUGUCAUUCGGUCAACGAUCUCGUAAGGCGGGUACGUGGCACGAGUGGGAGAUCGGGCAAAAAGGCAAGCGACGUAAGAAAAACUCGGUCAAAUGGAUCGAGAGUAUCGCCUACUUGGUGUGUUUUCUUUUUACCGUCCUCCUUCUUUCACCCCCUUCGAUGUGUCUCGUUUUAACCGCGCUGAAUUUCCAUUAUUUCCCUUCGUUCACGUUUAUCUAAUCUGUAUUAAAAAUCUUGCUCUGCAGCCACAGAAAUUGAAAAUUAAUUUCCGAUGUCGUGUAUCCUUGAUUAUCAAAUUUUCAAAUGUUAAUUAGUCAUUUUACGACCAUCGCUAGCCUUCGAGGUAUUUAGAUCUAUGAAUAACGCGAUUAUUCUUCUUGGUCGAUGAUCGAGACCCGUGUAAAGGUGGUUCUUGGAAAAAAAAAAAAAGAAAAGGAAAAGGAGGUCGGGUUGAACGAUCGCGAACUUAUUCGCUUGGCAAACGUAGCAGAGGGCAUAAUGAACCGAUCUGCUUGUUGACAAACAUUCUGUUUACAAAUAGCUCGUUUGCUGCUCGACGACCAAAAUAAUUGUUCAAACGUCGUUCUCAAUGCCAGGGGUUAUUAAGUUACGAGGCUUCGCCUUCGGAACUCUUCGAUUUAUAGAUCAGUCAUUCAUUAUACGCAGUUAACCCUGGAAACGUCGAGUCUCGUACCGACAAUUCGUUUCUAAUGUCUUCUUUUUAAAUAACAUAUCUUUAUUAACACUAGAUUACCGGAGCGAGUCAAUUUGACUCAUUUACCAAAUAAUUUCAUAAUCAAGUGUUUUUAGCACCUUAAGCCGAAUGUACGUGCACUGAAUUUCGCGGUACAGUCGAGCUAUGUCGCGAGAAAGUUUAUAUAUCCCGGACAGUCCGAGGUGAACGAACCUGUGCCGCUCGUUCCGAACGCAGAAGCAAUUUAUAAUCGAUGAACGGGCAAUUAGCGCGACACAAUUACCAAGAGAGAAAAAAAAAAUAGAAGCAACAGAUGAUUCUUUGUCGUGUUACACCGCUGCCCUUUGCAGUAAAAGGGUCAACCUCGUUGCGGUUUCAGAGAGAGAGAGAGGGGGAGGAAACUGACGUAGGUAAAUUGCAUAACAUUAUUAAUUGCAAUUAACGUUGCGUUACAUGUUCACGCAAUGGCAAGCUGAUUACCAGCCAGAGAUCGUGUUCGCCAUCUACACGCAACACGAUUUCGAUGCACUUGGCCAUUUUUAGCGAAGUCCUCGACUUUUCUCGUUAUCAGUUUCGAAGAAAAGUAAAUUUCGUAUAUUUAGAGCUAAAUAUAAUAAUCAAUAGGGGUGUGAGGGAUUUUGAAAAUAUCGAUUCAAAUUGCGAGUCCGAGUACCAGAAAUUUUCUGGCUCUCACUCAUCUCUAAUAAUUAAACUUUUACGAGAUGAAAAUAUAUGGAAAUUUCACGUUUGAAAUUAUGAAUUAAAAGUCCUGUCACGGAGGAAUUAAUUUGUGGGUUGAAGAUUGAAGCAGGUUCGUAGCCAUCGCUGUUUACCAUUGCAAACAUUCAGUGCAUAGGCAUGAAGCGUAAUGGAUAUAGUACAACGCGGAGCGUACUAUGAGUGGCCACUAAAUGGAAACGUGAAUGAAGCUCGUUGGAACUGUAUUCCCCCAGCGAUUCUAAGCACGAAUAAGGAAACGCGCUGAUUACGUGGACGGAAAAGGAGGAAGAAGAAGGUGGUAUUAUGUGACGUUUACGUGCGUAGUACGUCUUAUCCUAAUCUGCCAAACCGGCAACCGACGAUCCGAUAACAUCUCGCCUCUCGUGUUGUGUAUUCGUAACGUGUACCGUGUAUUCGCACUGCACCAACCAUGAAUGAAACACUUUCGAGCCGAAGAAUAAAUUCAUACAUUUUUCUCUUUCAUUUUUCUAACUCGAUAUGAAUAUUUUCAUACGUUGCCCGUUAACCCUGAGAACUUGGUCUUUACGGGGUUAAAAUAAUGCGAUCACACUGUAAAUACAGUGGUACCUCGGUAUAGGACUUUAAUCCGUUCCUGAUGUUUGGACAUCAACUCCGAAUAUAAUUGAUUAUUAUUUAAAAAUGACGCAAAAUUCACAGAAAAAAUUCAUGUCGUAUACCGAGGAAAAUUCGUCACGUCCAAACAGGACGUAUUCCGAAGUAUUAAAAAUUGACCAUCGGUCCAGUAAGAUUAUUAAUUACUAUAUUCUUGCAUCGAGUCAUCGGUUGAUUCAGUCAUUUACGGUUGCUGUCGGCCGGUAUCGCAUUUUCAAACCAGCUUUCUCUCGGAUCAGGUUUGAACCCGAGAAUGGAAGGAACAUUCUCACGAUGACGUACGUGGUUGUAUCGAUUUUUUAGUUCGAUCAGAAUCGAAUAUCCUUAGCUUUCCCUCGAUCGUGUGAAAAUGUUCAAUCGAUUGAUUCCUUUAAUUAGGGCAAGCUAGUUAGGGUAAUUAAAUGGCUAAAUAUAAUAUUGUAAAUAUGAACGAUAAUAAAUGCAAAUGUCAUUUGCAUCUGUUUGGUUGAAAGUGUCUCAUAUAAAAUACCGGGAAUCGCGAUUGGAAAAUCCAGUUUCACGCUGCGGGAUAAUUUCCAAUUACGCGUCUCGAUUCGACGCGGUGCUUAAAAGACGAUAAAAUUGGAUUAUAAUCUACGGCAUUGGUGGCGCGAUAAAUGAUCCCCCUUCGACUCUGAUUGUACAGUCAGUCACCCUUGUUUAUUGCCGCUCGUGUCGGCGACCAGUCGUACAGAGUCCACGGCAGUAACAUCAACAGUAGUUACCGUGGCGAAAAUAGGGUCAAGUACAAGUUUUACGAGCCAUCCGUGCCGGCAAGAUUGUUUUCUACCGUACGUCGUUCACGGCGCCAUUAAAACAACGCUCUGAAUAGAGGAAUACUGAAAAUCAAUUUGAUCCCUUUCGUAACAGGACGAAAAAAUAAAAGGAAACGAACGCGGUACAGUUCAGUUCUGAUUAAAAGAUCAGUUAACCGAAUCGUCGUUCGACGCUCGAUACUCGAUCCGAUAUCAAUUUCGAUGGAAAAAUUUUUCCAAUUUUUUUCGUGCCUCCGUAGAUAUUAGAUUCUAUCGAAUGUUUGUAAUAAAGGUUCGUUUUAUUUUCGCAAUAACUUUUACCGAUAGAAAGUUGAUCGAGCAAUGAUUGGAAAAGAAAAUAAUAACGAUUCGUAUUACUGUAAUGGAAAAAAUUAAAUUUAUUACCGGACAGAUAGAAAUCAGUGGAUAGAUUCAUUCAGUUGUUUAAUCGCUUGAUACGUAACUGGAUAUUCUCAUGAAUGAGGGCAGGGUUAUCUCCUAUUAACGUUCCAAUAACCGACUUUUGUUGUUUUCUAGUCAAUGGAAAAAUGAUUGACCUCUAGCGCGAUUAAUAUCUUCGUCCAUUCAUGCGAACGUUCUUGAACAGCUCUUGAAUAAACUCUCUUGGAUACCGCAAUUGAAUCACCCAUUAAUAAUGAUUUAAUUAAUUUAUAUUACACACAGAUGAUAGUUCAUUCAAUUUCAUUUAUUAAUCAAUUAAAACAAAUAAAAACAUUUAACAUUAAUAAAAUGUUGCGUAUACAAAUUAAUUCGGUACUUUUUUAUAAAAAAUUUAUUAAAAAUCCUCGUCCUAGGAUUAAUUACUAGCGAUAAAGUAAGCCGAAUUAAUUCGUAUACCUAAUAAUUCUGUGAAGCUCGAAAAAACGUAUCCGCCCGCGAUAUCGCGUGAACGUUUCGUCACAGUUCGUUCGGCGAGAUCACUGUACCGUGAAACGCGUGCGCGACAGAAAAAUUUGUCCGCCGACAUAUUUCCUCCGGCCGGUGUGUUUCACAUGCGUUUUUCACGUAGACGAUCGGUUGACCGCAGCGUGUCUGCGUCUAGUCGGUUCUCGGGUGUCCGGAACGUUAGCAGCCGCGAUGGGAGCGCACGGUGUCGGUGGAGGCGUUGCGUUUCACAAAGACCGCGAGAAAAUGUAGAAAUAUUUCGCGGUUCGUACAGAACGCUGGUGGCAUGCGCACACUGGUCAUAGGUCGUGACUGAAGAGAGGAUUAUUAUAAGAGAACGGCGGGAGGGUUAAGUUGUAGGGUGUAGGUGGAGGAGGAGGUGGUGGUCGACGGCGCGAAGCGUCGAGACGCGGGCCGGGAAAAGCGAGCACGCUAGCGGCGCGUCGACCAGAAUAAAGCGUAGAAGACCGGCUCGAUGCGAUUGUGUGGCGUGUGUAUACGGUUUCAGAUCGACGGAUAGACGAAUGAGAAAGGACGGACUGACAAACGGAUAAACGGACGGACCGACUGGCGGGAGUACAGACGCCACAUAGCCAGACAGUGAGUGCCGUGCUAUUUUCAGGCUGCAGUCGUCUACCACGUUGCCAACCUAACCUUACUUAAUCCCAACCUCAACCUUACCGGCCAACUGAACUUCCUCUCUCCUUCCAACUGACCGCUCUCCUUUCUAUACUCGUUUCUCUCUCUCUCUCUCUCCACUUGUUCCACCGCAUCAUCCACUCCCUUCCUUCUUUUUUCUUCUUUUCCACUUCAGACCGCUUAAUGUGUUGCAUGGCCUCCACCGUAUUCACUGUUAUUCUUAUCCGUCCCUCGGAUACUGCUUUUCGCACCACUUUGGAAAUUUUUCUUACCCUCGUCUGUCGAAUUUCUAUUUUUUUCGAGGUAUCAUCCAUAGUAAUGGACUUGUACCUUCUUGUUCGUUGCACGUUGAAAAUUACCACGAUGAUCACCGGCGAACCGCGACAUUAUCCCGUACCUCGUAACCGUAAAUUGGGAUGCAUGAAUAUAAAAAUAAAUGGGAUCGGCGUUAGCCUGGCAGAACUUUGCAUAAUUACGCUAUUCCCGGAAGUCGCGUUCGAUCGGUCCUUUGUACCGUCGAACAAAGCGGUUCAACGUAAAUUGAUAUCGACUUGUUAAAAUCAGAAAUAUUUGUUUCCGAACGAAUCGUUUGUCUUCUAAAUUCAACGACAUACCUCUGAAUUCUUAAGCAAUUAUGACACUAUGGGAUAAAAAAGGAAAAAUGUUGAAAUUGAUCGUAAAGUAUCGUGGCAGCGUGUUAGGAGGGCUCGCGUCGUUAACCAGGGCAAUAUUUAGCACCGCAAUUCGGUGGAAUUUAAUAGGCGCAUUAGGGGGCUGGGAGCCGGGAAAAAUGUGCUGCAAGCGUAGAGAAAGGGUAGAUGAAAGAAGAAGCGGAGGAAGUUAAAAUACCAAGGAGGCGUGCAUGAACGAAACCGGUUGGACGGUCUGGUCGGGUUUGGUCUGGUCUGGUCUGUUCUGCGGCGCGAUGGGGAGGGGAGGAAACCGCGUCGUCCGGUCGUGCUCGAGUUCAGAUAACGAGGUUGCCCGGUGCAGUUUUGCAAAACUGGAUUUUCGUGUAAGAUUUCUGGCCAAUGGGCCACAGCGGUUCUCGCGUCUCUCUUUCCACGGUAUUUUUCUGCCGGAGGCUUGAAAGCCAGCCGGAUCGGUCGGUCGUUUUCAUUCCCGAUCGAGACGAAGCGACCGCGACCAGAGUAGAAGAAGGAAAACGGUGCAGUCGUCUCGUCGGUUUCCUCUUAUCGCUUUAUAUCUCGGUGGGUGCCGUUGCGGUUGCAUUUGCGGCGUGCCUCGGCUUUUUAUACGGCCUUGAGCGCGGCCGAACCGAUCAGAACCAGGACGAGACUUGGUCCUGGACGAGAUACCCAGCUGUCUCGAUUUGCUAUUACCUCUUAUUUUUCCUGCAGCCCGAUAACUCGAUACCCGAACAGCUUCUCCGUCGUUUUAUCGUGUGAUUCAACCGUUCAGAGUAUUAAAUUGCAAGAAGUUAAGUUUUUCUAUUAUUUCUGCGUGUUAUACGUUUCUACUGCGGUGAUGGCGUUAUUACGACUGUACUAAAGUGCUGUGGUAACGGUGUCUAUUUACCUUCUUCGGCUAGGAAGUCUUAUUUCUAGGGGUAUGCAGGUAUCCGAGAAAUAAGAUACCCGAAAUUUCGAGGGCAGCAUAGUCCGUUGCUCAACCAAGGUAAAUGGGCUUUACAAUUUUCUCUAGUCGAAAAGUCGUCAGUUCCAUGAAGCUAGACGCAAAUGGUAGGAAUUGUAUGAUAAGGACACUCGGCGUGGAAUGACCAAGAGAAAGAGUGCAUUCUGUUCGUAAAAGGCGAGCCGGAGGCUAGCUGGGCGCGGCACACACGGUUUCUGCUCGCUACUUUUAUGAAUGAAUGCAGUUCGAGUGGGUGUGCGUAGUUGUGACUGCGCCUCCGCGCUUCGAGCUGUGCCCCGCGCUUGUGUGCGUGUUCCCCUCGCGUAUUUCUUCGUUGUACGACGCGCGUACACGGACAACCACGGACCGUGAUGAUGAUGAUGCCUGCCUGCUGGUGGACGGCAUUUCUGUUGCCGCCCGCGUACUCGUGCCUGGCUGCGGACGCACCUGGCGCGUGUGUGCGUGAAUCGGUUAGGCUAACCGCGUCAGACGAUGACUUCAUUCUACGUUUUUCCGGUCAUAUACUUUCCGACCAGAUUCUACAAUAGAACUACGCUUAUUAUUAACCCGUUAAUUCCUGGGAAUUAAAAAUAUUAAUACGUUACUAAGAUGAAUAGGUAAUAGAAAACGGAAAUUCUGGUGGAGAAUUUCCAGGAUCCGCCGUCCGCGUGUUAACGGGUUAACAAGAAAUUCAGAUACAUUAUUACAAGAAAAAUGAAAUUUUUAAAAAUAUAAAAAACGGUACCUUUUGAUAGAGCGGAACGAAAAGCCGAUAAAGUAUUCUUCCGUUAGUAGACGAAAAACUGGCAACACCUAUCAACGUCCUUUGCAAACAAGAUCUCUCGCGAAUAAAAAGAAUUCACCAGGCAACGUUUCUUAUCUCUCGCGCAAAGAGAACACGACGUGUUCCAGACGAAUUCCUUCGCGAAUUCUUUAAGAGUACAAGUUUGAAUCGACUCGCGAGACGAAUCGCGCGAAACGUUUUACAGCUUCGCGGAGGGGGGAAAAAAAGCCGAAGAAGGAAACGGCGUGUGAAAAGUUUGAAACCCCUCGGAGAGAGGUGUGUUUUAUUAAGCAAUUCAACCGGUGAGCGUUUUCGAAGGAGGUAGGAUCGCCGCCUUCGCGACGAGAGAACCACGAUCGCAUCCUGCUCCUCGUGGGCUUUAAACGAGCGCCGUAAAUCAGCACGGGACAAGCUUAAAAGUCUUUUAACUCGGUGCCCGUGGACGUGUGGGCCCAUCGCGGGAUCGAGAUCGCUUGAUUUUUCGUUCCCUCGUUCGUUUACACCCACCGAACUACUCGCUCGGUGUAACUGUACCGACACACGCGUUCCUGGAAACGUUCGAGCCUGUCUUUCACCACAAAUAUAGCUGUGAACGGUCGUUGAAAAGGAAAAACAGCGGUGAAAAACGGGGGGAAAAAAAGGGGGAGAGGUCCACCGGUCCGAGGAAAACACGUUUAACCGUUUAACGUCCGCGCUAAAUUUCACGGAUUCCAUGGAUUCUUUGCUCUUGACGGUUUUCUUUGUCGAAACUGGCCACUUGUAAUUUCUUGUGCAAUCACGUUCGACUUUUGUCGUAGGCUGAAGAGAAAUGUCUCUGCCUCCUUUUUGGAAUUAAGUUAUUUAGUAGAGGUGUGCGAGAACUCGAAAAUUUCGGGUACUCGAAUUUAAUUAAAAUUAAUGAUAAAUUUGUUCUGAAGGAUAAGUGAUAAUGAGAGAAACAUAGAGGACCGAAAAUGUGAAAAACGGAUCGUGCAAUAGCCAGGAGGAACACCCUAGUCGCUGGCCAAUUAGCGCUUGAAGGAUAAAUAAUGUAUCGACGCGCGAUUAGAUCGCGUGUCGCGUUAAUUGGACCGCUAAUUAAUCGAGGUCGAUCACUUACGGGGAGAGUAGAACGACAUCUGCACUCGACUCCCCCUUUAAACGCUUCUACUUACUCUUCGUUGUUUAAAUAUUUUUUUCAAUUAUUCUUAAUUAUCCAAAGUACAUUUAAAUGUAUACAGGGCCGCUGCAGUGCCAGCAGCAUGGUAGAAUUAUUGUUUCCUUUUUGUUCAACGAGACGGUUAAUAAUGCCUUCUUGCGGCAACACCUUCUUUCUUCUGCUUCCUAUACAACGGAUUGACUUUGCUCGUCUUCCCUUUCUUCUUAUCCUUCUUCUGCUCGUCCGACCGUCUGCCACGCAUCUUCCGGUAAUUUGCGGAACUCGGGAAUCCAAGGAUUCCGUUCCAGACACUGUAAACCAUAGCGCGUUGUUCCAAGGAAAUUGCCUCGUUCUAACGUGAAUUUCUUCGUCACCGACGCGAGCCAUUGUUCAUUCAACAAUAUUAAUCUUUACCAUUGUCACGGCGAUAUCGAACGCGUCAUGAAUUUAUUACCAUUCACCGUUACGAUAUUACCACUGAGCAAUGAGAAUCAGUUCCGUCGAUUUCAAUAACGCCGAUCAUCGAUGACCCCCCAGGUAUUUAACCUAUUAUGGCAGUUAAGAUGCAAAGAGCAGACACACGCCUUAGGCACGGAAUUCUUACGGGCAGGUAGAGGUUACAUAGGCGAAGACUUUGGAAUGUUAGGAGAUAAGAAAAUUUGAUACAGAGGUUGGGAAUUUUGUUGUGGGUCUAAUAAGGCCUUUAACGUGACGAAUGUUUCGGCGAGAUACAAUUUUCUUUUUUUCAAACUUUUAUUUAAUCAAAUGAACUCGUAAAUAAAAAUAAUGAAAUUCAACCUGAAUUUUAGAUCAGUUCAGCUUUAGUUUUAAUAUAAAACAAAAAGUACUUGCAACUAUUUGCAAUAUUUUUUAAAAUUAUAUUCAUCUUAUUCAAUAUGUUAGAGUUUAAAAGGAAAAUCAGAGUGCGAGUUGUAAGGUAUAACCCGUUGUCGCUAAGCUCGCGUUCCACGUGGUAUUAUUUGUAGCCUUGGCAGCUUGGCAUUUACGUUGACCCGUUCGUUCAAUCAUUCCCUUCCGAAUGCUGCGCAGAUGUAAACGCCGUGCCACGCCGCGAAGAAUAGAGCGAUGAUCUAAGGAACAUCGAUAUUGGAGCCAACUUCCGGGAUUCCGAUAGAGAUACAAUUGAUAGUCAGUGGAAGCGUUACUUCUCUGGGCUCCUUUUGUUAGAUAAUCCGCGGGAACGUAGCGCGGGUAAUCGGGCGCGAACCAAACGAUCUUAUCGUCGAUACUGUUAUAACCAUCGUCACGAUUAACCGACAGCCACGAUCUGUCCGAUAAUUUUUAUCAAAAUGAAAGUACAACAAUACGAAGUGUAUGAAAAGGGAAAGAAAAAACGAGAAGCGAAAGGAAAGAAAGCAAAGCGGUAAUCCGGUUUUUCCCUGGAGAGUUUUAAAAUCUGUCGGCAUAAAGUCCUCGUCGACGGCUCAUCUCAUCAAGAUAUCGAGUCAAAGGGGAUCUUCAUCUAGAUGUUUGAAGCGACCUAACCUAAAGUUGCAGUCUGUCGAGCGUCUCCCAUCCCCGCCUCACACUACCCUCGGUCCAGGCCCAAUAUUCAAAGUGUACUUUGCAACGACAGUUCCAAGCCGGUUACUCGACGCUUCCUCGCUAAAAGCAGCCUCUUUUCUCCCCUUGUCUCCUUUAUAUUCCUGUUUUCUCUGCUGCCGGCCAUCGGUUCGUCGCGAUCUUCUCUCCGCCCUUCGAUAAAAUAAUGGGCGGAAGUGGUUCGCUGACAGCUUCCCUACCCCUUUCUCUCUCACUCUCUCUAUCUGCCGUGAUUUUCUUGCGCUCGCGUUUCAAAGGCAUUUCAACUCUUGUCGUUUCACUUGUAAAUCGCGUUUAAUCGGAUACCGUUAUUGCCCGCAGAGGAUCGUGAUAAAGGAGGAUAUCCAGCAGGAACGCGUGUGGCGCAACUCGAUCAAUUUUAUUCGAAGAAACAAAAAGUAAUAAUUGGAUCGUGAUCAGAAUUAAUAUUUAACUUUCGUUGGAAAAUUUAACAAAUAUUACUUGUUACUUGUUAAAAUAUCUAAGUUGAGUAGAUUGGAAUUAAAAAAAAAGAAAAAUCUUUAUUUUUUACGAUUAAGAUUUCUACGCUUGGUGGAAAACACGGUAUCAAAUGUACGAGCAAACCGCUGUCCAGCAUACCGCAAGUCACAAGUCCUACGUAUCGCGACAAACCACUUGCCCGGACGUGUGUUUACGCGGGAUGCCAUUACUUUCCGCGUAUUAACCGCGAAAAUUUUAACGGUUCUUGAGAAGCCAUUUUAAAAGAAAAAUAUGAUUCUUUUUUUUAUGAAACAGGGAAUCUAUAAUUUUGACCCAUUUGGUAAUUCUACUGUUAAUAUACCUAUUGAUUUUAACUUCAGUCAACUACCAACUGGUAUCAGUUUUGAGUUGAAUCACCAUUUCAAGUGGAAGAGUUGAUAAUAUUAAUUCGAAUUUUGUACGCAAGAAUACGUUUGGCGCGCAGUUGAAGAUCGAUUAAAGUUCGACGCAAUUAUUCAUUUCCCCGUCGCGAUAAUUCUUUUUCUGCGUCUUUAGUAACGCGCUUUGUACCCAAAGGGUUGCGGGUAAUUUAUGCGCUGGCGAAGUGCAAUAGCUUUCGCAUCGUUGCAUCCAGGACCUUUCGAUGCGAGCCGGGGUAAAACAUAUUUCGAGCAACAGGUUCUUACGAUAACUUUCGCUAAGUUUCAAGAUAAAUCCCCCCCUCCCGCGGCAAUUAACACUUUCGUGUACUCGCCAAAUUUCAUUUCCAUUCGUCCCAAUGUUUUCCACGCGCGAAACUUUAAGCGCGGUGGGGAAAGCGUUAACGAGAUUUGAUUUUUGAGCGCGUUCUGCAUCUUUGAUGGCCGGAGCUAAUCCAGCGCAAAUACGAGCUUAAGCGUCGAUUCGAUUUCACGGUUCGAUAUCGUGUUUGCAUAUCCGCCUGUUUUUAUUGUGCUUGCCGGGUUGGCAAACUGCUGUAUCCGAUCGAGAUACCGUGUAAUUGAGUGGUAGGAAAUUUGUUUUCCAUUUAACGCUGCGGAAAGCGCGCGAUCGGGAUUAUUGUAAAAAAAUUGGAAAAAUUGAAAAGCUCGAGGCAGCGGGGGGGGGAGUAGGCGUGACUUGGGGGCCGAGGGAAAACGGUCGAUAACGCGUCGCGGGACGAGUCGGGAUCGCUGAAAGAAAUUACAAACUAUUAUCGGGAUCGUUUCAUUGAGAAAAAUUAGUCUGUAUUGGGAAUUACGGGAGGUAGAGUCAGGGAGAGCCACGCGAAAGAGGCGAACGGUGUAGAUAGGUGGGUGGAGAAGGGUUGGAGAGAGGGAGCGAGGACAACGUAGCUGCGUAACAUUGUAGCGUAUACAUAUAGUGGAGAGCGGAUCGAAGGAUCUCGAGGAAGGCAUCGUCGGCCCCGAAAGCCCGUUGGCUGUCGUAGGAAGCGUAGAGCGAGCAUACCAGCCAGUCUGGCCGGCUGGCUGGCUGGCCAGCCGGUCGAUCAAUAUUGCCAUGGCUACGACGUGCAACGUGGAGGAGAAAGAAGAGGAGGCGGAGUAGGUGGCGGCUGGCUGGCCGGCUGGCUGGCUGGCUGGCUGGCUGGCUACAGAGAAUGGUGGAGGGGUGGUUGCUCAUAUUCCGGUUACACACGAGAGGGUUGAGAACCAGAUCUGAUUCCGGGGCGAGAGCAGAGGGGCGAGAAUGUACGGAGGUUACAACGUAGUAGUAGAGAAAUACGUACUGCUACGUCACGAGACCUACACCUUGCCCCACCGAGCCAGCCGCCAGCCACCACCGACGCGUUCUACUCGAGCGAUUCAUGACGACGUAGAAACUGCCGCUUCUCUCGCCCGCCCGCCCGCCUGCCCGCCUGCCCGCCGCGAAGAAACGCUGACACGACCGGCCCUUCUGCCAUCCUCGAAACUCGAUCACGCUCGCGACUAAUUCUGCCACGUUUCUUUACAACGCGUGCGUACCGGUAGAUACGCUCGUCUUGACCUCCCAGUAACGCGCUACUCGUAUUACUAAAAUAUUUUCUUUUUUACUGCUACAUUGUAUUUCUUCCGCGUGUUUCAUAAAACCACCAAACUAUGUAUCGUAGUUCGUUAAAUAUUAUUUAUCGCAACAAUCUGCUUGCGGUGUAAGAGGAUCGCCGUGGGUUUACUGCAGCUUUCUACUGUUAAGAAAAGCCGGGCAAGCGGCAUAGUAUCGAGUUGCACGCGCGCACCUCGCGAUUUGUCAGCCUGAUAUUUCGCUACUUUGUGGGGAAUAAAAUCCUGUCUCUCUUCGUACCACGUUUCUGUUUCAUAAUGGAAACGAAUAGCCCAGUUGCAAUUUACAGUGACGAAUAAGCACACCGAGGUAUUUCCUUUCUCUUUAUUAUAACAUAAAUUAUAAAAACUUAUCUAAAUGUACGAAGUUUAAGGGGAAAGAAAAAGUAGGUACGAGGUUGAACUCGGGCCACCCAACAAUGUGGUAAAUCGACCUGUCAGCCUGAUAAUAUCGAUCGUUACAUUGUUUCCCCUGUACUCAUCAUUUUUUCAUCGGUCAUUUGUUCGCGAUGAUAGAUGCGAUCGUGCCUCGGGCUCAUAUUGCAACAAUGCUCGAAGGAGGAGACUUUGUGGCAAACGCGUGGGCGUGUAAGAAAUUUCCUUUGCUUCUUGUGAUGUAUGCACCUUAAGAUGCACGUAAGUGAUUGCGGAAUUGUUUUGUAUCCAAAAAAGAACAUCAGGAUAUUCGUAGGUGUUUAAAAUCUUCAUAUUACAAAGUAGCAAUGUGUAUACAGGGUAUUUUAUUUUCAUAAUUAAUUUAACAACAGACAUAGUUUUGGUUCAGUAAACUUUCUAGCUACGGGGGAGUUCAACUUCCUUAGCUGCAAGGUUGGCCGAUCUGCGAAGGUAGAACGUGCUGCAUUGUGGACUGUAGAAAGCAUGUAGGCUGUACGGCCGAAUCGAUAAGAGAAAAAUCGAUUGAUUGUGUAGCUAACGUGCAACGCGCGCUGUCCGAGAACGAUCGAUUCCACUUAUCUUGCAACCCACGCGAAUAUCCUGUAUACGUAUUUUGUUUCCGUUUGCUACCUUUGCAAACUUGUUCGCUUAUGAUUUAAAUAUAUUUAUCUACUUCAAGCGGGCUCCGUCAUUUUUGAGUUAAAAAAGUCGCCAGACAGAAGGUUAAUCACCGCACAGUAGUAUUAUAGUAUUUCUGUUUUCAUUGGCGUUCGUUCCAGCGGCGGCUAGUAACCUAGUGACUUUUACAUAACCUGAAAAGCGCGCGUCUCGUGUCAUAAUUCACGCGCACGUGAACGCAGCCAACUCGAGUGCAACGUACGCGGGCCGUGUCGUUCUCAAGGCUGAACGAGGUAAAUAUUAUUUGAAACAAUUUCAUUUAAGAAAAAUUAAAUAAAUUCGAAUAAACGCGUGUGUCGUAAUAAAUCGGAACAACGUGGCGCGUACGUAAACGCGUAUCGUACGUCGACGUGUGUACUCGUGCGUGGCGUUGCUCCGGAGAAUGAGUAGAAACGUAGGCACACUUGCAUACACGUAAACGUGGCGUACGUGGUCGGUUGGACGAGGAGAGUGGCGGUGAGCAUCGACAACACACGAGGGCCGCGAGUUCUUAACGUGCACGCAAUUUAACUCGAGUCGGCUUGACUCGAUACGCGCGCCAAGCACUUUCUCGUUAAUGAAAACUUUACUCCGGUUGCCCUAUCUCGCUCUCUCUCUGCCCUCUGUGUUCCUCGUGUGGCUGGCCUCGUACACGCUCCCUUCUCCUGGCGCGCGUGAAACCUACGCCCAUUCUGUUUGACGUUUUAAUUGGAUCGCCGUGUUUUUUUAAUUGGCCUAUCGGGAUUAACGUCUGAUUCGUUGCUGAAUUCUUUUGUUUACUUCGAUCAUUAACACGGUCAGCGUAUAAGUUCGUCCUUCGUCUUAUAAGGUAUGGAAAAUGAUAAAAUUUAGUAAAUAUAUUUUUAAACAAAAGAACAAUGUAAAAUAAUAUGAGAUCCGAAAUUAAGUUAAAAUUGGGGUUCUCUCCAUGGUCCGCCGUCUUUGAGAAUUUUAUCUACCCGUACAAUAGUGUAGUAUUUCGCCACGUGUUGCACCCUCGGUAGAGCCGGCCCUGAUAUAUUGUAAAAAUUAAUUUUUUCUGUAUUUAGAAACAAAGGUAACCGAAUGAAUAGACUGAAUCGUGCCAAGGUUAAUACGCGUAUUAAAGAUGGUACCCCAUGACGGUUAUAUGUUCAUGGAAAAAACCCGAGGUGGUCAGCCUUGGGGUUAAAAAACAAAUCAAUCAAUAAUUAUAAGCGUGUCGGUGCGAAGGUUGCGAUCGCAAUUUAGCGUAGGUCAUGUCCGUGGAGGAUUUCCUGUAAACACAAUUACAGUGUUCCAAGAUUGUAUUCUGCCCCGGACACGCUAUAAUAUAGCAUUCGAUAUACUAUAUUUUCGGAUGGCUACUACGACGGAUAAUUGUUGGAGUCGGUAGUGGUUGGAAGCUGAAAGUUCGUUGUAACGAGUCACGGACACGUGACAAUGCGUGAACCAGCCAGGACGGAAAAAAGAGGCCGACGAAGGAGCAUAAUAAAGUGCAAGGAGAAAAAGAUGGAAGGCGAAAGAGUGAGGGAACGAUCCAAGGGGAGCGCAGACUACCGGAUGUGACGUACUCGGCCGUCUAAACAUAGAUACACGCUACGCAACUCUGCCGCCUCUUCAUCGUUGCUUGUAACGCCUGCUUGCUUGCUCUGCUCGAUUCCGCUCGACUCCGCUCGCUUUCCUCCCUUUCCCACUUCUUGCCCCUCUACUCAAGGCUACUACUACUGUCAUCAGAAAAGCAAGCCAGUAUGAAAGAAACUCACCGUGCUUUUUCCAUACUACACAUGGUAGUGAAAUAUGAAUCUUUUGAAAAUUUCGACAUUUUCGAAAGUAGUGCAAAUUCGACAGCGUUAGGACCGAGAGGUGGUCAAGACUUGUUCGUUACGUUAUAUCCUGUAACGAUUACGCGGACGGUGAGUAACGGCGGUGUUCUCGUAGAAGAAAAAUGCGAGCAGAGGGGAAAAAGAAGUACUCGUACCGGUUGCAAAAGAACCGAGGCGGCAGCUUAGAUAAAGCCGCGGCGCAAACGUAACUUCUGAUUCAUUCACAGAACGCGCUUACGUAACUCAGCCGCUACAAUGAAUUACGUCUGCAGUAUGUUAUCGUUGAACGCCAGCGAUCGUAAAUCAGUGUUGCACCAUCGUUCGGAUCCUUUAAAUCCGUUACACAAGAAAAGCAUCCCCGCGUACGCGCGUCUUAGAAAAGGAGAGCACAGUCGGACGGUCAAGAAUAUUUUUCACGAUUACUUGAAAACUACAGUUGCGUGCUCGAUAAUUCCCCGUAAAACAGGGAAUUAGCGAAAGGGAUAAUUCAGAACAGGAGGUACGCGGGGGAGGUUUAUCGCGAGGAGCCGAAGGUUAUUGACAUUUUCCAGCCUGGUAAUGGGACGUGCUCGAGUUGUAGCAACGAUGAGCAGAAGAAUGCUUUUCGCAGAGUGCGUAUACGUGCCUUCUACGUGGAAGGGUGCGAGCGAAACGAAUAAAGGCAUUUGUCACAUGUGCCCUUAAGACUGGCUGGACUUCUCCCCUGGAGGGCAGUAAUGCCGUACAAUGGGAGCCCUUCGGCUGAAUAGCUCGAUGGAUCGUCCGGCGAAAUGUGGAGCUCCCUCUUUUCUCGUUCCUGGACACACGAUGCGUUUCGUGCUUCCCACUGGAUUUUCUCGGAAUACCUCGGCUUACCCUAACGCCGUACGAUGAAACAUUCAUGAAUCACUCGUUCGGAAGGAUUACCGUCAUCGCAGAAAAUUAUAGCGCCUAUACGCUGGCGAUCGACUCGACAAUGACGCAUUCGAAGGGUUAGAAAAAGAGAAAUGGAAAAAAAGAAAUAAGAAAUAUGCUCGGUAGGAAAGGGUCAAUUAUAAGGCGUGUAGAGUGGCACGAGGUCGAGUAGAGUAUUUAGCCGGAAGUGAACUUGAUCCCCAUCGAGAGGGCAAAGUUCGCGGAUAGGAAGAAGGAGGAGAUUGUUUGGAAGGUUUUAAGGCCCUCCACUCGGUAGGAAAAUAACGGGUAGGAAGUGCAGGCGACAAGGAGCGCGGAGGUCCUUACGGUAGGGAAUUCUGCAACAGCCUCCGCCUACAGGAACCUCAGACGGGAGCAUCGAUCUGGGCGUCGGCCUCAAGACAACCCCUCUGGCCCCUUUCCACCCUCCUUCCUUCCUUCGUUGCUCUCUUUCUCUCCAUCCCUCCAACCCUCUCCACCCCACCUCUACCGCUGUCCUCUCCGGGUGGAAGCUCCGCUCGCACCCCUUUUUACCUUUUAUUCCGCCGCGGAAACUUGCACCAAAGUGGACCAAUUGUCCCGUUAUUGUUUUAUUCCGCUUUUCCCCCCUUUCAAGUAUUUACAGUACGCCGAGGAUCGCGUUAUUAUUGUUUUUCUUCCCAUCCCCCCAUCGUCCCACCGAAUCUUGGCUUUCUUUUGAGCCACCCUUUGAUGACCGAACGCUUGUGACUCUCCUCUUUGAAAUAUCGCCGCGUUAGGCUGAGUUUCUGAAUUUUUCACGUUAAAUUAUUUAAACAUCUUCACUUUGUCGCGAGGAAAAAUUGAGUACAAAGCAAUUCCGGCGUCUCUGCGAUGCCUUGACAUUGCAUCUGCACCGACGUCGGCGCAAUCAAGAACUCAUCUCCUCUAGGAAGGACAGUCUCCGCGGCAUUGUGCGCUCGUCAUUUGGAAACUUGUCAUCAGCUUUCAACUUGGCGGAACUACGACCCGUGACUUCUAACUCCGCUCCUUCCUCUGUUAUCCAUCUCCUUCUUGCAUCUCCGUCUCUCCGUUUUCUUUUUCGGCUAAUUGCCACCGCGAUCGAGUGUACUUGAGAGCUACUUUCGGAAGGGUGAAUGAUUUUUAAGCGUUUUUGCAUAUCUAAGGAGACGAGAACGUUUCGUUGCUUUCUAUUUCGUAGCUCACCUUUUUCUCACCUUGUUUUCUUUCGUUCCACGGUUAGUUCUGCUGCUCGGAGAAAGCUUAACAGGAAUGUAUUCAUAAACGUGCUCCAAAUUCAGCGAUACCCCGAUGAAUUUCAAAGAUUCUUCCGAGAAAUCAAUUAAAGUUGCACGGUAGAGACGGAAAUAAUUCGUGAUCGGAGAAAUCAGUGUAGUCGAUCGAGAUCCACGAUUGUCGUAUUUUCUCGGGGGGAGGGGGGGACACGAAGCCGAUAAAACUGGCAAAGAAACGGCGAACGUAGUCACGUCUCGGGCCAUCAUCAGCCGUAGCUUCUCACGUAGCGCGUCGAGGAACGUGCCCUUCGGCGCCUCCAUAGGAGGGCUAAAAAAGGACACGCGGGAUAGAGAAAUUCGGUGGAUCUGCCCUGGGCGAAAACGAGCCCGGGGUAUAUUAGUAAGACGGUAUUACGUGUAUAUCUGUAUACACCUGAAAUCUCGAUUUAUAUUUCUCCUAGGUCGUUUCGGUCUCUUUGAAAGAUUACGCGUCAUCUUUGAGACAUCCGUCGUGACUCGCAUAUCGAACUUGUACAGAUGUUUCACCGGUAAACAAUGAUUCAUUCGCUAUCGCUGUUGCUUUUUAAAAGAAUUCUAGAAACCGAAGGAAACCUUGAGUCAUUUAGCAAUCUAGUCCAUUAUAAAGAUUUUAUAAUUUCAUUAUAAAUUAUUGACUUCUCUUAUUGAUCUCGAGGAAUUAUGGGUAGAAACCAAUAUGGCGUCAAACUAACCUCAAAAAUAACUUUUAAACGGAUGAAUAUCUAAAGUUAAAACUUGUGUUCUUGAAUUUAUCUCGUCAAAUACUAUUAGAUGAUAUAAGAAGGACAAUAAUUAUUCAGUGCGCCCCAAAAUAAAGUUCAUCCGAGGUAAUAAAUGUAAUGCUAUUGGCGAGAGUCAUUCCCUUCAGCAUCUUCGACGACGUUUCUUUCAGCGCUCAUAAAUUCCAUUCCGCCGCAAGCAAAGUUUAUUUCCCGUCAUUUCGAAGGAGCCGCGCGAUUUCUCCGCGUCUCGGCUACCUUUCGGUUGCCAUCUAUCGAACUCAUCUUCGAUCUUGGUGGAAUUUCCUACCGGUCCGCGUCCGGUUCCGUCCUUAGAAGAGGUACGAGGACGAUCGUGUAACCAGCCGGAUGGCAUACUUACUGGCCGCGUCUAACGACGCACACAGAGUUCUAUAUCGACGCGGUCGAACGACCCUGGAGAGAACGUUCGUUUGCCUCUCUGCGUGGUCCGCGUCGUGGUCGUGGUCGUGGUCGUGGUCGUCGCAGUCAACUGCGGAGCCAGGUACGCGUACGUGGAAUCGGAGUCUCCUGGAACCUCGUUAAGAAUUGCGUAACGCGUGCUGCGGGUCAAUUACCUUAGGCAUAGAUGCCGUUGCGGCGACGGUGCGCAAUCGUUGCAAGCUGAUCUCGUUACAACGCUUCGCCUUACGCAACGAUCUGCGCUUUCGUAGUCGAUGACGCGCCAGGUGCGUCGUACCGGUGACUUUUUCCUCUUAGCCACACAAGCGGUGCUUGAUGUGUACCGUAGAAUCUCCUACUUUUCUUCUCUAGCAAGUUCGCUCCUAAUGGGGACUUCCGUGACAAGUCUAAGAUUUGUUGCUACCAGGAUAAAUGAGAAACAAGGAUUGCCAGAUCCAACGAUAGAAACGGUGUCGGUUGGUACCACUGGCUUCCUCUAAAACGUACCUCGGCAUCGUCGGACAGCAUCUUUGGACCGAGCGUGCCCUGAUUCCGUGGACAUUCCACAAGUAAUCCACGGUUGAACGAAACUCGUGACGAUCGAAUGAUAUUCCGCUCCUAGAAAUUCUAUUUCAUUAACGAUCCACCGAGCGGUUUCUGAACCUAUUGAUAGAAUACACAAGAAUCUCCUCUGUCCUCUGUACCACUGUUUGCAUAAUUCCUCUACCCGUAGAAUCUUGGAAUGCAUCGUGUUACGAGUUCCUGGAACUCUUUCAUCUUCUACCUUAGAAAAUUCCAAUAGUUUUCAGCUUCAGAGAUUUCUGAAAUUUAGUUGUCGAAGCUUAGAGACUGCGCGUGUAAAAAAUUUUUACAUUUCAGAGAAAUUUUCAUUAGGGACGAGUCUCGGGUCGGGUCGGGUGGUACCUUGGAAAAAAUUCCCAACCCGAUCCGAUUCGAGGCUCGGAUACUCGCACGCCCCUGAUUCUCACCGACUCUAUGUUUCCGAGUAAUGGACUUAAAGUCUAAUCGUGGCGAUUAGAAGGAUAAUACGAUAAAAAAUCGGCGUCGAGGCUUCUCGACGGUAUUCAUUGUCGUUUGUUGGAGAUAUUCUGGCGCCACGAUGUCGCGAUGACAAUCUUUGCUGCGUCAGCAUCGGGAUUGCAUUACGGAGCGGAGCGGCGACAGGAUUCGUUAGCAUUCGCGUUGUCGCUUUUACGAAUAGCGCCGGUAGCUACCGGCGGGAUCCUCUCUAGGUCGACCGAUCGUGGGAAAUUCGCCUUUUGUCUCCUCCACCUCCUCUAUCCUUCGCCCCCUUUGCUUUCUUCGCCGUUAACGAGGCGACCUGAUAAAAGCCUGCAACUCCGUAUCAGUCGUUGUACCGACAAUAAAUCAAGUAGCAUCGCACCACCUCGCCACGCCGUACAACACCCUUGUUAAUGAGCUUAACACGCCGUGGAUAGGCAGAGAAAGGCGGCGCCUUUCCUGAUCAUUUUAUACACGAAAAAGAAACGUUGAGAACGAAAAGUGGUCAGUGCAAAUUGGCCUUAUUCGACACAGGAACAUGGAUCCGACAGAUAAAUUCACGCUUGGGGAUUUUUGGACAUGGGAAACUUGAUUCUUUGGGAUUUUGGGAUUUUGUGACAUGAAAAGUACGUACUAUAAAUCUUCUUGGAUGUACAAGCAAACGUAAAUUAACAUAUACGAGGUACGUUGAAACUCCCCUGAAAGUUUGAAUUCAAGCUCGGCCUGAAC